CAAAAAUUAGAGUGUAUAUUAUACAAGAGUGUUUGUGAGGUUUCUUUGGGUACAAUAUUUGUCCCAAAGGGUGUUCUUGUAUCGUCUCUAUUUUUUGGUGUUUCUCAAGUUGGUCACUUGAGAUUUUGGUGUACCAUUAUUGUUUUAUAGUGGAUAUUUCUCGAAGUUUGGCCCGUGGUUUUUCCCUCUAAAUUUGGGAGGGUUUUCCACGUAAAUUUUGAUGUUCCGAUUGCUUGUGUUAUUUUUCAUAUUGUUCAACGACCGAGUAAAGUGGAAUUAAUAUUUUAUUCCCAACAGAUAGGAGUGGUUGUUAAGACGAUUUAUUAAAAUUUGAUAUAAGUUUCUUAUCGGAAUGUUUCUUUCUCAAGUAUAACCUCGCAUUUUCAAAUAAGUUAAAAGGCCACCAAGGACAUUUGAUACAAACUGAGAUUUAUGCUAUAAACUUACA
rnacentral:lncRNA from 1 species